GACGAAGGUGGCGAGCGUUGUUCGGAAUCACUGGGCAUAAAGCGCGCGUAGGCGGCUAUGUAAGUCAGGUGUGAAAGCCCUCGGCUCAACCGAGGAACUGCGCCUGAUACUGCAUGGCUUGAGGUCCGGAGGGGAGAGUGGAAUUCCCGGUGGAGCGGUGAAAUGCGUAGAGAUCAGGAGGAACACCGGUGGCGAAGGCGGCUACCUGGACAGAGUCUGACGCUGAGGCACGAAAGCUAGGGGAGCAAACAGG
rnacentral:rRNA from 1 species